rnacentral:misc_RNA from 1 species
CAAAUUUCACUUGGGAUCCUUAUGAAUUGAAGGGUCUCUUCUGCGUAUGCCAAAUCAUAUAAAUUAUGAAACUAGUUCAUAUCAUUCUGGAGGAAUUGAUUUUUCUUUCAUUUUGGUGGCAGAACCACAAGCUCGUAUGAAACCAAGUCACAGAAACAAAACUCUAUUCUCUUGGCCAAGCAAAAACUUGUAUGACAGAUCAAAGGAUGCAAGACUUGUAGCUACAUUAUCACUCACUGCUUUCAAUACCAAGCAUACAACAAAUUUGUGAG